rnacentral:rRNA from 1 species
GAUUUUAAUCAAAUCUAUCAUGCCAGAGACAAAAACCGUGCCAAUGUGGAUCGUGGCCGCCUGGUGCGUUUCUGCAACGCCCUAAACAACAGUGAGCUCAAGGAGAUUCACAUGCAAAAUAGGAGAUUUACUUGGAGUAACGAACAAAGUAACCUGACGAUGAAGCUAGAUAGCUUUUUCUGCAAUGAAGAUUGGGAUUUAGAGUUUGCCUCCCACAUUCUGCACGCCCUCUCCUCAUCACUUUUGGAUCACUGCCCCCUCCUGCUUGCUAAUGAUGCUGGCCCAAAGAAGCCUAAAUCCUUCCGGUUUGAAAACUUCUGGACAAAGAUGCCGGGAUUCCAACGCGUCGUCUCCGAGGCAUGGAAUGUGAAUUACGGUCAUGUCGAACCUUAUCAACGGCUAUUCCACAAGCUUAAGAGAACAGGACAAAAGUUGCGCUCCUGGAGCAAGACCCUUUUCUCGAACUCCAGGGUCCAGUUACACAUGGCUAUCAAGGUCAUCCUUCACUUUGACCUCGCUCAAGAAUAGAGAGACCUAAGCCCGGAGGAAAGGGAUCUUCAGACAAGAUUAAAGCGUAGGAUCGUUGGCUUGGCAGUGCUCGAAAAAUCUAGAAAAAGGCAAAACUCUAGGAUUACCAAUCUUAAAGAAGGAGAUGCCAACACCCAUUAUUUCUACCUCCAUGUCAAUCACCGGAGGAGGAAAAAUCUUAUUCAUCGCCUCAAACACAACCAGGGUUAG